UACGUAGGGUGCAAGCGUUAAUCGGAAUUACUGGGCGUAAAGCGUGCGCAGGCGGUGAUGUAAGACAGGUGUGAAAUCCCCGGGCUUAACCUGGGAACUGCAUUUGUGACUGCAUCGCUGGAGUGCGGCAGAGGGGGAUGGAAUUCCGCGUGUAGCAGUGAAAUGCGUAGAGAUGUGGAGGAAUACCGAUGGCGAAGGCAGCCCCCUGGGAUGACACUGACGCUCAUGCACGAAAGCGUGGGGAGCAAACAGG
rnacentral:rRNA from 1 species